UAGCCAAUCAGCAUGACUGCUCGAUGGUUUGCCAGGUAGACUGUAUACACAGGUCCGUACUUUUCACUUAGCUUGACAAUGACUGUGGCAGUUCAGUGGUACUAAUCUGCAUUAUAUUCCCCAGAAGUGGCAGAGGGGUGGGCCCUGGUGGCAAGUCUUUCUUCUUUACAUUCCUCCACCAUUUAAUGAGGUAAAU